rnacentral:pre_miRNA from 1 species
AUGGGGAGGCCGGAUUCUGGGCUGUGUCCCUGGCGCCCUGUGCUCCUGGGCCUGCACUGUUGGAUUCGUGCUCCCAGCCGUGCAGCCUCCU